UUCUCCAUCAGCCGUCGGGAAGGCGAACCAGGCGGAGGUCUGGGCGCGUCGGGCAAGUUGCGUGCGGUGAGCGGCGAACAGCAUCCGCUCGUAAAGCUCUGCAGUGGUCCUUGUACAGGUAUCUUUUGUCAUUAAUGGAGGAUGGGAGCAACCCCCUGCAACUUCACAGUGUACCAUCCAUUCAGAAGGAGAAAACAGAGCUAGCCUUCCAUUAACACAGAUGAAAUGUCACCCACAGAUGAAUUAUGCAUAUGUGGAGUGAUUUAUUCCUAUGCCAUCUAAAAAGUUUGGACUUGCAGGAUAAUUCAGAUUGAAAGGAACCUCAGGAGGACAUCAAGUAAAACCUUCUGUUGCUGAGGGUUUACUUUACUUUGCCGUCUUGAGCAGGCAGCUAAAGACUUUGUCAAGUUCAGAAUGUCUCUGCAAACACAGAUUCCACCAUCUUUCCAGGCAUCCUUUGCUGGUUCUUUCCCUGCAUAUGCAUAAGCUCCAUUCUAAAACUGUCCCCACCCUAUUUCCACAGUCACUCCAGUUUCUUUAAAUUUGCAGCUAGGAGACAGCAACAAAAAUUCCAGGAGAGCAGUAGGAGCCUGGUAACAGGCAGAAAGGAAGUCCAGUAGACUUGAAGAGAUAAUUUCCCCUGGAUUUAUGGAAAGGGGAAAAGCAAUCUUGUUGAUACUUAAUUUAUAGUUAUCUACAACUAAUGAGCAGUAAGAAGGAAAAGCAAAACUUUAGCAGUGGGACAGCAAGAGAAGGGACUGGUAGAGCAAAUAACUUAUUUGCAGAUGCCCUUUUCCCUCAGUUGAUCCAAGUUCAGGUUCAAUGGAAACAUUGCACCUCUGGGUGAAAUCAUUCAGGAAAGCUGCUGCUGAGUAGAAGAGUCCAGUUGGUCUCUUUCUUCACUCCCUCAGCAUUUUCUGUGUGAAUGGAGAUUUUUUCUGUUUGCUUUCUGUCACUGCAAGUCCUAUCAGGUCUCUGGACAGUGGCAGGUAGCAGGUGAAAUUCCCAAAACCUGAAAAUAGCAGCAAGUUGUUUUUCUACGAUGUAUAUACUCAUCUCUCUGUGUCUGUGUGACACUUUCUCUGUAACACAAUUUAUGUUCAGGCUGGCUGGCCUGCUGCUACAGCUUUCAGUUAAAAAGCACAGGAAUUAUCAGGUAGAUUUAUUUUUCUGCAGCUGUUGUCUUUUUCCAUCAUACCUGACCUGCUGAUGUUGAAAGAUGCCUCUUGUCUGAAAAGCUCUGAUACUAACAAGAGAAACGCUGAUCAGUAAGAUUUCAGAGGAAAAAGCAGGAACAGAGCAUCUGGUAUUCACAGUUUCCUUACAAGUCAAGAGGAAUCAGAUGAAUGAAGUUUGGAGUAGAAGUGGGCUAACACCAUAUACACACCACAGAACUUGGACUGCUUUGGACACCUUCAUGCUAUGAUCAGCUGAUGAGUUGUUAACAUCCAGGAUCACAGACUUACAAAACUUUUAAGGUCACAGAAUGACUGAAAUGGGAAGGGACCUCUGCAUAUUGUCUAGUCCAACUCUCUGUUGAAAGCAGGGUUCGACAUCACAUUCAAUUGCUUUGAAGUUAAAUAAGAAGCACACCACAUGCUUAUCCAGCCCAUUGUCAAAUAAGGCAACUGUCUGCUAUUCAAGCUCUCUUACACUAUUACAUAAUUCCAUGAGACAACUUAUUGCCUAUUAUAUAGAAGAUCUUUUUUUGCAUGAUUUGCUGAAGCAAGAGCAAGGGCCUUCUUCUGUCUCAGCUUCAGCAACACCACCAGCCGAGGCAUUCUAAUAUGAACACUAAGCUGAGACAGAUAACAUUAUCACAAUGUUUAUUCUCUCCCUUGUCUAAGGUCUUACCUUCUGUUUUCCUUGCCUGCAAAAGCUGGUCCAAGAAAGACUGCACCUUUGGAGAUAAAGUCGUAUUAAAAGUAGUAAACCUUGCAUUCAUCUGCAUGAACAGGGGAAGAGUCUCACUUCAGUUACACAAGAAUUCAGAGGAGUGAUUCUAUCACCCUGAACCUUUUGUUGAGUAAUUCUACCUCCAGUAGCCCUGCCUUCAGCAUUCUGUCUUUAGUUCUAUGUCAGCCCUUUUUGAACAUAAAUGCUCAUGUUUCCAGUAUGAUGUUAGUAUUUGGUUUAUGAAUACAGAAAACUGCUGAAAUACACUGCUUUCCACA